rnacentral:ncRNA from 1 species
AAUAAAUUUAAUUUUUGUUUUAAAAUUAGUUAUUCUAUUGUUUUAUAGAUAAGAUUUAAUUUUUAAAUAACUCGAAAUUUAUAAUUAAUAUCCAAUAUAAUUAUAUUCAUUAGUGUGAAUUAUAGUGAUUAGAUAAUUGACUAAAAUAAACUCAGUGCCAGCAUUUGCGGUUAUACUGGAUAGUUGAUUUAAUUUAUUUUAAUUAUUAGAGUUUAUUUUUAUUCUAUUUAUUAAGUCUAAAUUGGCUUUUUUAUGGUGAAAUAUUGAAGAUUCAUUUUUGUCUUAAAUUUAAUAAAACUCAUUAAGUCUUAAGAAAAACUAGGAUUAGAUACCCUAUUAUUAUGAUUAAUAACCUUUAAUUUAGAGAGUACUUGUUUAAUCUAAAUAAAUUUAAAAAAUUUGGCGGUGUUUUAAAAAUUAGAGGAACUUGUUGAGUAAGCGAUAGUCCACGGUAGGAGCUGCUUAAAUUUAAUCUUAUGUAUUGUUGUUUUAAAAUUUAACUAUUAGGUUUAGUUAAUUUAUAUAAUUUUAUUAAAAUUCAAAUCUAAAUGUAGUUUAUUUAAGAUCAUUAUGAGUUACAUUAUUUUAGGAAAUUAUUAUCUGUAAAAUUUAAAUUUUACAGAUGAGUUGGAUUUAAUUGUAAAUUAAAAUAAUUAUUUUUAUUGAAUUAAAUUAUUAACAUGUACAAAUUGCCCGUCAUUCUUGCUUUUAAGGUGGGAGAAGUCGUAACAUAGUUAACGUACCGGAAGGUGUGUUUUGUUUAUU